rnacentral:rRNA from 1 species
UACGUAGGGGGCAAGCGUUGUCCGGAAUUAUUGGGCGUAAAGAGCUCGUAGGCGGUCUGUCGCGUCGAAUGUGAAAACCCGGGGCUCAACCCCGGGCCUGCAUUCGAUACGGGCAGACUAGAGUUCGGUAGGGGAGUCUGGAAUUCCUGGUGUAGCGGUGAAAUGCGCAGAUAUCAGGAGGAACACCGGUGGCGAAGGCGGGUCUCUGGGCAGUAACUGACGCUGAGGAGCGAAAGCGUGGGUAGCAAACAGG